CAUUUUCCUUGAAGUACUUUGAAGAUGAGCAGACCGGUUUCAAGAUACAUUCUUUAUUAUGAACAAGAACUAGGUACAGAAAUGAGAUUGUUCAGACUAUGUGCUCCUGGACGUCGAGGAGACAUCAGCUGAGCCUUGAACACACUCUCAAUGUUUAACAAGACUCAUCUGGUGCAAUGAUCCAAGAGUCUGACAGGGACACGCAAACAGCCUAGAUCACAAUCAUCUUCAAGGAAAGAAGGAAAGAUGGAGAAAGUCAAGAAAAAGGAAAAAAAACCAGAAAAAAAGUGAAGACUUAAAGAAGACUAAGAAGAAAGCUGGGGACAGUAAAAUUCAGAUGGAUUGUCAAAGAUGCUUUCUCCCCAUCUCCAGGAGAUUUACAGCAUCUGCAUGUUCCCUUACCAUGGGCUGAACCUAGUGGUUUUGUCUAGCACACAGGGAGUUGCAGUGGCUACGUUCCCUCCGUAUUCUCCUCGGGAGGGCUCUCAUGUGCCUUUGUGUUUGAGCACAAUGGGGCCUCAAUCUUGAUCAGAACCUCUGGGUAUUAUUAAAUAGUAAUUAUAAAGCUCAAAUGGCUCCAUCUAUUCCUGCUGGAACCUUUUGCCUCCAUACCCUCCCGAUUAUGCCCAAUGACUGAGGAGCUACACUCUGGGCCUUGUGUGGAAGUGUAUUUACUGAUCCCUCAAUGCUGACUCUGAGGGACUGUUUGGACCAUUCACAUUUGCAGUUUGCCAUCUGAGUAUUAAAAUAUACUCUGACUUUUCAGGAUUAUAUUCCUAUACAAUUGUCUUUCCCUGAUUCAGUAAAAUCUGUUCUUUCCUACACAUUAUAUGCAUGGACCUAAUUUAUUUUUUGGCUCUUCUGAGCAGGUCCGAGGAUCCCAUUGUCUAGCAGUUUAUUUUUCUUAAAUAAAACCUAAUUGCCUCAUUUUUCAAGUCAGUAUCCACGGUUGUGUUUGACCAAAGAUAUUUGGUGAUAUCAACCUUUUGUGUUCUGUGUU